UGGCGGAGGUAAGAGGCGCAACAGCUCAAAUUAGAAGGACUGGCCCUGGCCCGAGUUGUAAUUUGUAGAAGGUGCUUCGGGUGCGGCCCCGGUCCAAGUCCCUUGGAACAGGGCGUCGCAGAGGGUGAGAAUCCCGUACGCGGCCGACGGCCAAGCCCUUGUGGAGCCCGUUCGACGAGUCGAGUUGUUUGGGAAUGCAGCUCUAAAUGGGUGGUAAAUUUCAUCUAAAGCUAAAUAUCUGCCGGAGACCGAUAGCGCACAAGUAGAGUGAUCGAAAGAUGAAAAGCACUUUGAAAAGAGAGUCAAACAGUACGUGAAAUUGUUGAAAGGGAAGCGCUUGCAACCAGACUCGUUCGCGGGUGCUCAGCCGUCCCUCGGGGCGGUGCACUCUCCCGCGUUUCGGGCCAGCAUCGGUUUUGGCGGCCGGAUAAAGGCCCUGGGAACGUAACUCUCUUCGGGGAGUGUUAUAGCCCGGGGUGCAAUGCGGCCAGCCGGGACCGAGGACCGCGCGUUCGCUAGGAUGCUGGCGUAAUGGUUGCCAGCGACCCGUCUUGAAACACGGACCAAGGAGUCGACCAAUCUGGCGAGUUUUAGGGCAUGAAACCCUGAAGCGCAAUGAAAGUGAACGCAGGUGGGAGCCCCCGGGUGCACCAUCGACCGAUCCUGAUGUUUACGGACGGAUUUGAGUAUGAGCCCGGUUGGUCGGACCCGAAAGAUGGUGAACUAUGCGUGAAUAGGGUGAAGCCAGAGGAAACUCUGGUGGAGGCUCGCAGCGGUUCUGACGUGCAAAUCGAUCGUCAAAUUUGCGCAUAGGGGCGAAAGACUAAUCGAACUAUCUAGUAGCUGGUUCCCGUCGAAGUUUCCCUCAGGAUAGCAGCAACGAAAUCAGUCUCAUGAGGUAGAGCAAACGAUUAGAGGUCUUGGGGUUGAAAUCGACCUUAACCUAUUCUCGAACUUCGAAUAUGUGAGAAGUCCUUGUUACUUAGUUGAACGUGGACACUUGGAUGUAUCGUUGCUAGUGGGCCACUUUGGUAAGCAGAACUGCCCGAUCC
rnacentral:rRNA from 1 species